UACGGAGGAGGCAGGCGUUAUCCGGAAUUAUUGGGCGUAAAGCGUCCGCAGGUGGCACCUCAAGUCUGCUGUCAAAGACCGGGGCUUAACCCCAGAAAGGCAGUGGAAACUGAAGUGCUAGAGUGCAGUAGGGGUAGAGGGAAUUCCCGGUGUAGCGGUGAAAUGCGCAGAUAUCGGGAGGAACACCUAUGGCGAAGGCAGCUCGCUGGGACGUUACUGACGCUGAGACGCGAAAGCGUGGGGAGCAAACAGG
rnacentral:rRNA from 1 species